rnacentral:rRNA from 1 species
AGCCUAAGCUAGGUGGGGUUAAGGACUACUAUGCGAGCGAUCCGUAAGCGGUUCGAAAGGAUGAUGCGCCACACUGGACUGAGAACACGGCCCAGACUCUACGGGAGGCAGCAGUGGGGGAAUAUGGACAAUCGGGGGAACCUGAUCCAGCCAUGCGCGUGUGUUGAAGAAGGCCUAUGGUGUAAAGCACUUUAAGCGAGGAGGAGGCUACUUUAGUUAAUACCUAGAGAUAGUGGACGUUACUCGCAGAAUAAGCACCGGCUAACUCUGUGCCAGCAGCCGCGGUAAUACAGAGGGUGCAAGCGUUAAUCGGAUUUACUGGGCGUAAAGCGCGCGUAGGCGGCUAAUUAAGUCAAAUGUGAAAUCCCCGAGCUUAACUUGGGAAUUGCAUUCGAUACUGGUUAGCUAGAGUGUGGGAGAGGAUGGUAGAAUUCCAGGUGUAGCGGUGAAAUGCGUAGAGAUCUGGAGGAAUACCGAUGGCGAAGGCAGCCAUCUGGCCUAACACUGACGCUGAGGUGCGAAAGCAUGGGGAGCAAACAGGAUUAGAUACCCUGGUAGUCCAUGCCGUAAACGAUGUCUACUAGCCGUUGGGGCCUUUGAGGCUUUAGUGGCGCAGCUAACGCGAUAAGUAGACCGCCUGGGGAGUACGGUCGCAAGACUAAAACUCAAAUGAAUUGACGGGGGCCCGCACAAGCGGUGGAGCAUGUGGUUUAAUUCGAUGCAACGCGAAGAACCUUACCUGGCCUUGACAUAGUAAGAACUUUCCAGAGAUGGAUUGGUGCCUUCGGGAACUUACAUACAGGUGCUGCAUGGCUGUCGUCAGCUCGUGUCGUGAGAUGUUGGGUUAAGUCCCGCAACGAGCGCAACCCUUUUCCUUAUUUGCCAGCGAGUAAUGUCGGGAACUUUAAGGAUACUGCCA